rnacentral:rRNA from 1 species
UGGGGAAUAUUGCACAAUGGGCGAAAGCCUGAUGCAGCAACGCCGCGUGAGCGAUGAAGGCCUUUGGGUCGUAAAGCUCUGUCCUUGGGGAAGAAUAAAUGACGGUACCCUUGGAGGAAGCCCCGGCUAACUACGUGCCAGCAGCCGCGGUAAUACGUAGGGGGCAAGCGUUAUCCGGAAUUAUUGGGCGUAAAGGGUGCGUAGGUGGUUUUGUAAGCGCGGGGUGAAAGGCAAUGGCUCAACUAUUGUAAGCCCUGCGAACUGCAAGACUUGAGUGCAGGAGAGGAAAGUGGAAUUCCUAGUGUAGCGGUGAAAUGCGUAGAUAUUAGGAGGAACACCAGUGGCGAAGGCGACUUUCUGGACUGUAACUGACACUGAGGCACGAAAGCGUGGGGAGCAAACA